UGGCUCAGAAUGAACGCUGGCGGCGUGCCUAACACAUGCAAGUCGAACGCGAAAGGGACUUCGGUCCUGAGUAGAGUGGCGCACGGGUGAGUAACGCGUGGAUAAUCUGCCUUAGAGUGGGGGAUAACAUUCCGAAAGGGGUGCUAAUCCCGCAUACGACAUCACUGCUCAAGUAGUGAUGGGAAAGGGGGCCUCUGUUUACAAGCUUCUGCUCUAAGAUGAGUCCGCGUCCGAUUAGCUAGUUGGUGAGGUAAUGGCUCACCAAGGCGACGAUCGGUAACUGGUCUGAGAGGAUGAUCAGUCACACUGGAACUGAGACACGGUCCAGACUCCUACGGGAGGCAGCAGUGAGGAAUAUUGCACAAUGGGGGAAACCCUGAUGCAGCGACGCCGCGUGGGUGAUGAAGGCCUUCGGGUCGUAAAGCCCUGUCGGAGGGAAAGAAAGGGUGAGUAGUUAAUACCUGCUCACAUUGACGGUACCCUCAGAGGAAGCACCGGCUAACUCCGUGCCAGCAGCCGCGGUAAUACGGAGGGUGCGAGUGUUAUUCGGAAUCACUGGGCGUAAAGCGAACGUAGGCGGAUAGGCAAGUCAGAUGUGAAAUCCCGGGGCUCAACCUCGGAACUGCAUUUGAUACUGCUUGUCUUGAGUAUGGUAGAGGUAGGUAGAAUUCCCGGUGUAGAGGUGAAAUUCGUAGAUAUCGGGAGGAAUACCAGAGGCGAAGGCGACCUACUGGGCCAUUACUGACGCUGAGGUUCGAAAGCGUGGGUAGCAAACAGGAUUAGAUACCCUGGUAGUCCACGCUGUAAACGAUGAGUACUAGGUGCGGGGGGUAUAAACUCCUUCCGUGUCGUAGCUAACGCGAUAAGUACUCCGCCUGGGAAGUACGGCCGCAAGGCCUGAACUCAGA
rnacentral:rRNA from 1 species